GUUUGCUCAAUCUAAACGCUAAUGACAGCAAUAAUUUAACGAACAUUGUAAAUUAUUUCUUUGCACAUCAUUGGGAAGAUAAUACAAAAUGUCCAGAGACCGGCUUGACAAAAGAGGAUGCCCCGGAUGACAACGAAUUCAAUCAAUGUUUAGAUCACUUCGACUCUGUUAUGGAAAAUGACGCCAUGAAGGAAUACAAAGUUUUCACUGCGGACUCAGAAUUCGACCAGCUUGAGUGGGAAAAUUCCUUAAAGUUCAGGGGAUCAAAUGCUUAUCCUCCUGGGCAAGAUUUUGUGUUCAAUUAACAACUCUGAGACCACAAACUCAUCAAAAAGGAAGGAACAAACUCCCCGUCAGCGACAACGCACCUUCUACUGGCUGGAAAGAGAGCAGUUAUACCAAGAUACAUUCAAAUUCCUGCACAUAUCGCCUCACACGUCUGCUUUCACAUUAUAAAGAGCAUGGAAUUGAGCCGAAGGAAAAGAAGUCUGGUGGGAGCAAAAGCAAUACACGAUCAUGCGAAUUUGAAGAUGUACAAAGAGCUGUAAGGUUCCUAAAAAAUUAUGCAUCAGAAAAUCAGAUAUGAGAUUAAUAUCGUAUUUAUAGCAAAUGAAAGAA